rnacentral:antisense_RNA from 1 species
GGCCGGGAGUGAGGAGGAUAUGGGAGCAUCCUCCAGAAAAGCAGAAGAAAGGGCUCCAGCAACCAUGGAUAAUGAGAUUACCAAGCUCUUCUGGGAAGACAAUGAUGUGUUCCAACAAUGGCCCAUUCCACAUGCUUUCUUUAUAUGAGUGACACUCCUCUUUAUCCACAAGUGAGAUCUAUGUACCUCUCCUUUGA